GUUGUAUGGUUAAGUGACUAAGCGUACACGGUGGAUGCCUUGGCAGUCAGAGGCGAUGAAGGACGUAUUAACUUGCGAUAAGCCCAGAUUAGGCAGUAAAAGCCACUUGAGUCUGGGAUUUCCGAAUGGGGAAACCCACUAGCAUAAGCUAGUAUCAUUAACUGAAUACAUAGGUUAAUGAAGCGAACCGGGGG
rnacentral:rRNA from 1 species